CAUGGUGAAAUUUAGCUAGACAAAUUACAAAGCAAUGAAACAAAAACAAUUCGGAAUUAACGAGAUUAGUAUAAAUUUGUUUGUUCGGCGCGUUUCAUGGAGAAAAUUUUGUGGAUUUAUUAUCAAUCGACAAAUAUUGUGAAAAGCUAUUCCAUAUGUAUGUAUUUGCAUAAUAUUGGAAAUAAAAUAAAUGUGAAAGGCACGUUAAACAUUUCUGAAUAGAAAUAAAUAAUAAUUUGCUGGAAAUGAGAAUAAGUAAGAAAUGUGGCUUUCCGGCGUUUCGUCUCCCUGCCGGCGGGGAAUUUUUCUAAUGCUUGCAAGGCGAAUUUAUCUCUUGGCGCUCCCAGCAGCUGCGCCAAGAUAUUCACCACACUUUAGUACCGUUGGUGCUGCCGUAAUAUUAUUAAAAUAUUUUUGAUCUUUUUAACAAAACUGAUAAUAUGGCGUCAAACAUAAAGUUAUAGGGAAAUUGUACAACUAGGAAAUUAAAUUGGAAAUGCUAUAAUUUGCUUACCGAACAAAUUCAAUUUCGUUUAAUUGUUUAAACUUCUUUACUUGCUUCUGUGGCAACACCUUAACUAUUUGUGUAUCUGCAGUGGGUAUUUUAAUGCGAGUCCAAAUAAAUAUGCAAGACAAGUUUUGCAGCGACUUUGGAGCACUACGGAAGUUUUUGCGGCUGACAGCGCCAGAUAAACCAGCGCCCUAGUGCAACGCCAAGUCGGGGAUACAAAAGAAA